GGGUUGUGAGGUUAAGCGACUAAGCGUACACGGUGGAUGCCCUGGCAGUCAGAGGCGAUGAAGGACGUGCUAAUCUGCGAUAAGCGUCGGUAAGGUGAUAUGAACCGUUAUAACCGGCGAUUUCCGAAUGGGGAAACCCAGUGUGUUUCGACACACUAUCAUUAACUGAAUCCAUAGGUUAAUGAGGCGAACCGGGGGAACUGAAACAUCUAAGUACCCCGAGGAAAAGAAAUCAACCGAGAUUCCCCCAGUAGCGGCGAGCGAACGGGGAGCAGCCCAGAGCCUGAAUCAGUGUGUGUGUUAGUGGAAGCGUCUGGAAAGGCGCGCGAUACAGGGUGACAGCCCCGUACACAAAAAUGCACAUAUUGUGAGCUCGAUGAGUAGGGCGGGACACGUGGUAUCCUGUCUGAAUAUGGGGGGACCAUCCUCCAAGGCUAAAUACUCCUGACUGACCGAUAGUGAACCAGUACCGUGAGGGAAAGGCGAAAAGAACCCCGGCGAGGGGAGUGAAAAAGAACCUGAAACCGUGUACGUACAAGCAGUGGGAGCACGCUUAGGCGUGUGACUGCGUACCUUUUGUAUAAUGGGUCAGCGACUUAUAUUCUGUAGCAAGGUUAACCGAAUAGGGGAGCCGAAGGGAAACCGAGUCUUAACUGGGCGUUAAGUUGCAGGGUAUAGACCCGAAACCCGGUGAUCUAGCCAUGGGCAGGUUGAAGGUUGGGUAACACUAACUGGAGGACCGAACCGACUAAUGUUGAAAAAUUAGCGGAUGACUUGUGGCUGGGGGUGAAAGGCCAAUCAAACCGGGAGAUAGCUGGUUCUCCCCGAAAGCUAUUUAGGUAGCGCCUCGUGAAUUCAUCUCCGGGGGUAGAGCACUGUUUCGGCAAGGGGGUCAUCCCGACUUACCAACCCGAUGCAAACUGCGAAUACCGGAGAAUGUUAUCACGGGAGACACACGGCGGGUGCUAACGUCCGUCGUGAAGAGGGAAACAACCCAGACCGCCAGCUAAGGUCCCAAAGUCAUGGUUAAGUGGGAAACGAUGUGGGAAGGCCCAGACAGCCAGGAUGUUGGCUUAGAAGCAGCCAUCAUUUAAAGAAAGCGUAAUAGCUCACUGGUCGAGUCGGCCUGCGCGGAAGAUGUAACGGGGCUAAACCAUGCACCGAAGCUGCGGCAGCGACACUAUGUGUUGUUGGGUAGGGGAGCGUUCUGUAAGCCUGCGAAGGUGUGCUGUGAGGCAUGCUGGAGGUAUCAGAAGUGCGAAUGCUGACAUAAGUAACGAUAAAGCGGGUGAAAAGCCCGCUCGCCGGAAGACCAAGGGUUCCUGUCCAACGUUAAUCGGGGCAGGGUGAGUCGACCCCUAAGGCGAGGCCGAAAGGCGUAGUCGAUGGGAAACAGGUUAAUAUUCCUGUACUUGGUGUUACUGCGAAGGGGGGACGGAGAAGGCUAUGUUGGCCGGGCGACGGUUGUCCCGGUUUAAGCGUGUAGGCUGGUUUUCCAGGCAAAUCCGGAAAAUCAAGGCUGAGGCGUGAUGACGAGGCACUACGGUGCUGAAGCAACAAAUGCCCUGCUUCCAGGAAAAGCCUCUAAGCAUCAGGUAACAUCAAAUCGUACCCCAAACCGACACAGGUGGUCAGGUAGAGAAUACCAAGGCGCUUGAGAGAACUCGGGUGAAGGAACUAGGCAAAAUGGUGCCGUAACUUCGGGAGAAGGCACGCUGAUAUGUAGGUGAAGUCCCUCGCGGAUGGAGCUGAAAUCAGUCGAAGAUACCAGCUGGCUGCAACUGUUUAUUAAAAACACAGCACUGUGCAAACACGAAAGUGGACGUAUACGGUGUGACGCCUGCCCGGUGCCGGAAGGUUAAUUGAUGGGGUCAGCGCAAGCGAAGCUCUUGAUCGAAGCCCCGGUAAACGGCGGCCGUAACUAUAACGGUCCUAAGGUAGCGAAAUUCCUUGUCGGGUAAGUUCCGACCUGCACGAAUGGCGUAAUGAUGGCCAGGCUGUCUCCACCCGAGACUCAGUGAAAUUGAACUCGCUGUGAAGAUGCAGUGUACCCGCGGCAAGACGGAAAGACCCCGUGAACCUUUACUAUAGCUUGACACUGAACAUUGAGCCUUGAUGUGUAGGAUAGGUGGGAGGCUUUGAAGUGUGGACGCCAGUCUGCAUGGAGCCGACCUUGAAAUACCACCCUUUAAUGUUUGAUGUUCUAACGUUGACCCGUGAUCCGGGUUGCGGACAGUGUCUGGUGGGUAGUUUGACUGGGGCGGUCUCCUCCUAAAGAGUAACGGAGGAGCACGAAGGUUGGCUAAUCCUGGUCGGACAUCAGGAGGUUAGUGCAAUGGCAUAAGCCAGCUUGACUGCGAGCGUGACGGCGCGAGCAGGUGCGAAAGCAGGUCAUAGUGAUCCGGUGGUUCUGAAUGGAAGGGCCAUCGCUCAACGGAUAAAAGGUACUCCGGGGAUAACAGGCUGAUACCGCCCAAGAGUUCAUAUCGACGGCGGUGUUUGGCACCUCGAUGUCGGCUCAUCACAUCCUGGGGCUGAAGUAGGUCCCAAGGGUAUGGCUGUUCGCCAUUUAAAGUGGUACGCGAGCUGGGUUUAGAACGUCGUGAGACAGUUCGGUCCCUAUCUGCCGUGGGCGCUGGAGAACUGAGGGGGGCUGCUCCUAGUACGAGAGGACCGGAGUGGACGCAUCACUGGUGUUCGGGUUGUCAUGCCAAUGGCACUGCCCGGUAGCUAAAUGCGGAAGAGAUAAGUGCUGAAAGCAUCUAAGCACGAAACUUGCCCCGAGAUGAGUUCUCCCUGACCCUUUAAGGGUCCUGAAGGAACGUUGAAGACGACGACGUUGAUAGGCCGGGUGUGUAAGCGCAGCGAUGCGUUGAGCUAACCGGUACUAAUGAACCGUGAGGCUUAACCUUACAACGCCGAAGCUGUU
rnacentral:rRNA from 1 species